UACGGGGGGGGCAAGCGUUGUUCGGAAUUACUGGGCGUAAAGGGUGCGUAGGCGGUUCGCUAAGUUGGAUGUGAAAACUCUGGGCUUAACCCAGAGCCUGCAUCCAAUACUGACGAGCUAGAGUUCUGGAGGGGGUAGCGGAAUUCCUGGUGUAGCGGUGAAAUGCGUAGAUAUCAGGAGGAACACCGAUGGCGAAGGCAGGUCUCUGGGCCGAUACUGACGCUGAGGAGCGAAAGCGUGGGGAGCGAACAGG
rnacentral:rRNA from 1 species